ACCAAGAUUGGUUCCAUUGCUUGGCAUAGAUGUUUGGGAGCAUGCAUAUUACUUACAGGAAUUGAAUCAAGAGAGUGAGAUUUCAUCGCCAAAAGAGUUAGGAAGUAGGUCUUCUGGAGCAAGCAAUAGAGCAGCAUGAAAUAUGAUGGAGAUUUUAUGUAUUAAGAGUUACAUGUUAUGACAUUUAUAGUUGAAAAAUUAUGUUAUGUUUGAUACUUUGUAUAAGAGUUAUUACUUUUGAUUUUCAAUACUAAAAAAUCAUAUAUUAUGUUUAA